rnacentral:rRNA from 1 species
CCUUCCCAAGGCGCGUGAGAGAACCCUGGUUAAGGAACUCGGCAAAUCGACACCGUAACUUCGGGAGAAGGUGUGCCGCUGGCGGUUAGUGACUUCGCGUCACGAAGCUGUCGGUGGUCGCAGUGAAAUGGCGGUUGUGACUGUUUACUAAAAACACAGGACUCUGCGAAGUCGUAAGACGACGUAUAGGGUCUGAUGCCUGCCCGGUGCUGGAAGGUUAAGGGGAUAUGUCAGCGCAAGCGAAGCAUUGAACCGAAGCCCCAGUAAACGGCGGCCGUAACUAUAACGGUCCUAAGGUAGCGAAAUUCCUUGUCGGGUAAGUUCCGACCUGCACGAGGGCAUAACAACAUCCGCACUGUCUCGACCAGGGACUCAGCGAAAUUACAUUGGGGGUGAAGAUGCCCUCUACCCGCGGAAAGACGGAAAGACCCCAUGAACCUUUACUGCAACUUGGCAGUGAUUUUCGGGUUGUUCUGCGUAGGAUAGGUGGGAGGCUUUGAAGCCGGGCUUCCGGGUUCGGCAGAGCCAACGUUGAAAUACCACCCUGAAUAAUCUGGAAAUCUAGCCUGCGCCCAUGAUCUGGGCGAGGGACACUGCCUGGUGGGCAGUUUGACUGGGGCGGUCGCCUCCUAAAUUGUAACGGAGGCGUGCGACGGUUCCCUCAGGCUGAUUGGAAACCAGCCGUAGAGUGCAAACGCAUAAGAGAGCUUUACUGCGAGACUGACAAGUCGAACAGUCGCGAAAGCAGGUGUUAGUGAUCCGGUGGUACCACAUGGAAGGGCCAUCGCUCAUCGGAUAAAAGGUACUCUGGGGAUAACAGGCUGAUCGCGCCUGAGAGUUCACAUCGGCGGCGCGGUUUGGCACCUCGAUGUCGGCUCAUCGCAUCCUGGGGCUGGAGCAGGUCCCAAGGGUUUGGCUGUUCGCCAAUUAAAGCGGUACACGAGCUGGGUUUAAAACGUCGUGAGACAGUUUGGUCCCUAUCUUCCGUGGGCGCAGGACACUUGAGAGGAGCUAUCCAUAGUACGAGAGGACCUGGAUGGACGAACCUCUGGUGCUCCGGUUGUCACGCCAGUGGCAUAGCCGGGUAGCCAUGUUCGGAACAGAUAACCGCUGAAGGCAUAUAAGCGGGAAGCUGGCCUCAAGACUAGGUGUCCCUGACGCAAGUCACUAAAGGCCCCUCGAAGACUACGAGGUUGAUAGGCUCGGUGUGGAAGCGCUGCGAGGCGUGGAGCUAACGAGUACUAAUAGGCCGUGCGACUUGACCUC